rnacentral:miRNA from 1 species
GUUGUCUGUGGUACCCUACUCUGGAGAGUGACAAUCAUGUAUAACUAAAUUUGAUUGACACUUCUGUGAGUAGAGUAACGCAUGACA